GAACCUCCGUUUGGUGACAGCGGAGGGACAUUACCGAGUUUACAACUCCCAAACCCCUGUGAACAUACCACUUGUUGCCUCGGCGGAUCAGCCCGCUCCCGGUAAAACGGGACGGCCCGCCAGAGGACCCCUAAACUCUGUUUCUAUAUGUAACUUCUGAGUAAAACCAUAAAUAAAUCAAAACUUUCAACAACGGAUCUCUUGGUUCUGGCAUCGAUGAAGAACGCAGCAAAAUGCGAUAAGUAAUGUGAAUUGCAGAAUUCAGUGAAUCAUCGAAUCUUUGAACGCACAUUGCGCCCGCCAGUAUUCUGGCGGGCAUGCCUGUUCGAGCGUCAUUUCAACCCUCAAGCACAGCUUGGUGUUGGGACUCGCGUUAAUUCGCGUUCCUCAAAUUGAUUGGCGGUCACGUCGAGCUUCCAUAGCGUAGUAGUAAAACCCUCGUUACUGGUAAUCGUCGCGGCCACGCCGUUAAACCCCAACUUCUGAAUGUUGACCUCGGAUCAGGUAGGAAUACCCGCUGAACUUAAGCAUAUCAUAGGCGGGGGAGGAAA
rnacentral:rRNA from 1 species